rnacentral:rRNA from 1 species
UUUAUGGAGAGUUUGAUCCUGGCUCAGGAUGAACGCUGGCGGCGUGCCUAAUACAUGCAAGUCGAGCGAACGGACGAGAAGCUUGCUUCUCUGAUGUUAGCGGCGGACGGGUGAGUAACACGUGGAUAACCUACCUAUAAGACUGGGAUAACUUCG